UACGUAGGGUGCGAGCGUUAAUCGGAAUUACUGGGCGUAAAGCGUGCGCAGGCGGUUGUGCAAGACCGAUGUGAAAUCCCCGGGCUUAACCUGGGAAUGGCAUUGGUGACUGUAUGGCUAGAGUGUGUCAGAGGGGGGUAGAAUUCCACGUGUAGCAGUGAAAUGCGUAGAGAUGUGGAGGAAUACCGAUGGCGAAGGCAGCCCCCUGGGAUAACACUGACGCUCAUGCACGAAAGCGUGGGGAGCAAACAGG
rnacentral:rRNA from 1 species